rnacentral:rRNA from 1 species
UUUUUUUUGAUGUUCUCCUUCCUCCGUNACGAACAGACCUAGGCGGCGUUUACACGUCAUAUCAGGGGGUUAAGCCCUGUUGGGCUUCCUAGAACCGGCAUCGGACUCUGGGUGCGUAAACGCGUAUACCAAUCUCGCCUUCCACAAGAGGGAUAGCCCAGAGAAAUUUGGAUUAAUACCCUCCAUAGCAUCAUGACCCGGCAUCGGGAUAUUGAUUAAAGUCACAACGGUGGAAGAUGACCAUGCGUCCCAUUAGCUAGUUGGUAAGGUAACGGCUUACCAAGGCUACGAUGGGUAGGGGUCCUGAGAGGGAGAUCCCCCACACUGGUACUGAGACACGGACCAGACUCCUACGGGAGGCAGCAGUGAGGAAUAUUGGUCAAUGGGCGCAAGCCUGAACCAGCCAUGCCGCGUGCAGGAUGACGGUCCUAUGGAUUGUAAACUGCUUUUGUACGGGAAGAAACCCUCCUACGUGUAGGAGCUUGACGGUACCGUAAGAAUAAGGAUCGGCUAACUCCGUGCCAGCAGCCGCGGUAAUACGGAGGAUCCAAGCGUUAUCCGGAAUCAUUGGGUUUAAAGGGUCUGUAGGCGGUCUUGUAAGUCAGUGGUGAAAGCCCAUCGCUCAACGGUGGAACGGCCAUUGAUACUGCUGGACUUGAAUUAUUGGGAAGCAACUAGAAUAUGUAGUGUAGCGGUGAAAUGCUUAGAGAUUACAUGGAAUACCAAUUGCGAAGGCAGGUUGCUACCAAUGGAUUGACGCUGAUGGACGAAAGCGUGGGUAGCGAACAGGAUUAGAUACCCUGGUAGUCCACGCCGUAAACGAUGGAUACUAGCUGUUGGGCGCAAGUUCAGUGGCUAAGCGAAAGUGAUAAGUAUCCCACCUGGGGAGUACGAACGCAAGUUUGAAACUCAAAGGAAUUGACGGGGGCCCGCACAAGCGGUGGAGCAUGUGGUUUAAUUCGAUGAUACGCGAGGAACCUUACCAAGGCUUAAAUGCAGACUGACCGGUUUGGAAACAGACCUUUCGCAAGACGGUCUACAAGGUGCUGCAUGGUUGUCGUCAGCUCGUGCCGUGAGGUGUCAGGUUAAGUCCUAUAACGAGCGCAACCCCUGUUGUUAGUUGCCAGCGAGUCAUGUCGGGAACUCUAGCAAGACUGCCAGUGCAAACUGGGAGGAAAGGUGGGGAUGAACGUCAAAUCAUCACGGGCCCUUACGCCUUGGGGCUACACAACGUGGCUACAAUGGGCCGGGACCAGAAAGCAACCCACCCCCCGAGGGGGGAACGAAUCUUAUAAAGCCGGGUCACAGGUUCGGAACCGGAAUCUGGCAACUCCGACUCCGGGGAAGCUGGGAAUCGCUUAGUAAUCCGGAUAUUCACCCCAAUGAACCCGGGGAAAAAACGUUCCCGGGGCCUUGGAACAAACCCCCCGUCCAAAACCAGGGAAAACCGGGGGGGGGCCCGAAGUCGGUGACCGCAAGGAGCUGCCUAGGAAAAAUGGGC